rnacentral:rRNA from 1 species
UACGAAGGGGGCUAGCGUUGCUCGGAAUUACUGGGCGUAAAGGGAGCGUAGGCGGACAUUUAAGUCAGGGGUGAAAUCCCAGAGCUCAACUCUGGAACUGCCUUUGAUACUGGGUGUCUUGAGUAUGAGAGAGGUAUGUGGAACUCCGAGUGUAGAGGUGAAAUUCGUAGAUAUUCGGAAGAACACCAGUGGCGAAGGCGACAUACUGGCUCAUUACUGACGCUGAGGCUCGAAAGCGUGGGGAGCAAACAGG